rnacentral:rRNA from 1 species
UUAAUGGAGAGUUUGAUCCUGGCUCAGGACGAACGCUGGCGGCGUGCCUAAUACAUGCAAGUCGAGCGGGGUUGUGUAGAAGCUUGCUUCUAAACAACCUAGCGGCGGACGGGUGAGUAACACGUAGGCAACCUGCCCACAAGACAGGGAUAACUACCGGAAACGGUAGCUAAUACCCGAUACAUCCUUUUCCUGCAUGGGCGAAGGAGGAAAGACGGAGCAAUCUGUCACUUGUGGAUGGGCCUGCGGCGCAUUAGCUAGUUGGUGGGGUAAAGGCCUACCAAGGCGACGA